UACAGAGGGUGCGAGCGUUAAUCGGAAUUACUGGGCGUAAAGCGUGCGUAGACGGUUAUUUAAGUCGGGUGUGAAAGCCCCGGGCUCAACCUGGGAAUUGCAUUCGAGACUGAAUAGCUAGGGUACGGUAGAGGGAAGCGGAAUUUCCGGUGUAGCGGUGAAAUGCGUAGAUAUCGGAAGGAACAUCAGUGGCGAAAAGCGGCUUCCUGG
rnacentral:rRNA from 1 species